GAUGAAGAACGCAGCGAAAUGCGAUACGUAGUGUGAAUUGCAGAAUUCAGUGUAUCAUCGAAUCUUUGAACGCACAUUGCACCUCUCGGUAUUCCGGGAGGUAUGCCUGUUCGAGCGUCAUUUGUACCCUCAAGCUCUGCUUGGUGUUGGGUGUUUGUUCCGCCUCUGUGUGUGAACUCGCCUCAAAACAAUUGGCAGCCGGCGUACUUGUUUCGGAGCGCAGCACAUUUUGCGAUCCAGAUCAACGUACAGCGGCAUCCAAGAAGCCUUAUUUAACGCUCUUGACCUCGGAUCAGGUAGGGAUACCCGCUGAACUUAAGCAUAUCAAUAAGCGGAGGA
rnacentral:misc_RNA from 1 species